rnacentral:sRNA from 1 species
UUUUGGAGGGCGAUGAGCUAGUCUGCGGACGCUGUAUACCCUCCUCCACUUCCCGCUGCAGCCAAUAAAGGCCGUUCCUACCAUAGUCUGUCCGCGUUCUUUUUUCCGAGACUGCAGAGUUCGGGGAAGCUGUACGCCGCCUUUCGCUACGCGGAAUUUGCAGAUCUUCCCCUGGACCUCAGGCCUCUCCGGCUGGAGUAGGGUGGACGCUUCACAUAAGGUUCUCUGGUCGAACUUACCCGAAUCUCCAGAUGGCCGCGCUGCGUCGAAUGCUCCACUUGCCGAGCCUGAUGAUGGGGACGUGCCGCCCCUUUGCGGGUAGGGAGGUGGGGGCAGAGUGGGGAGGGCAAGGUGGGGGCAGAUUGGGGAGGGUAAGGUGGGUUCCUCGUGACUCAGGAGUGUAGUCCCUGAAAUUGUGAUUCUCAAACCCUACGGUGGGCCGUGCGUGGUGGCUCACGGCUGUAAUGCUAACACUUUGCCAGGCCGAGGCGGGCAGAUCGCUUGGCCCAGGAGUUCGAGACCAACCUAGGGCAACAUAGCGAGACCCUGUCUACAAAAAAAAUUAACCGGGCACGAUGGCGCCUAUAGUCCUAGCUACUCAGGAGGCUGAGGUGGAGGCUUCAGUGAGCCAUGAUUGUGCUACUGUACUCAACCCUGGGUCACAGAGUGAGACCCUGUCUCAAAAAAAAAAAAAAAAAAAAAAAGACGCCAGUGUGUAUAUACGACGUUUUUGCAGUGGCGACAUAGACCAAGUGACACCCUCCAACCGUGCCCACAGGCUCACUGGCUGAUAGUUGCCUGGCAGACCGCUGUCUCUGGGAUCGGCUGCAUGCCCAGCCUCGUUUGGGCACUGUCCCCACCUUCGACUGGUUCUUUGGAUACGAGGAAGUCCAGGGGCUCCUACUGCCAUUGCUGCAGGAGGCACAGGCUGCCAGUCCUCUGCGAGUGCUGGAUGUGGGCUGUGGGACUUCCAGCCUAUGUACAGGCCUCUACACCAAAUCUCCACACCCAGUGGAUGUGCUGGGGGUGGACUUCUCUCCUGUGGCUGUGGCCCACAUGAAUAGCCUCCUGGAGGGUGGCCCAGGCCAAACACCUCUAUGCCCUGGGCACCCUGCCUCAAGCCUCCACUUCAUGCACGCCGAUGCUCAGAACCUGGGGGCUGUGGCUUCUUCAGGCUCUUUCCAACUACUGCUGGACAAAGGCACAUGGGAUGCUGUUGCCCGGGGAGGUAUGCCUAGGGCUUACCAGCUUCUAUCAGAAUGCUUGAGGGUUCUAAACCCUCAGGGGACCCUGAUUCAGUUCUCAGAUGAGGACCCUGAUGUGCGACUGCCCUGCCUGGAACAAGGGUCCCAUGGCUGGACUGUGACUGUGCAGGAGCUAGGCCCGUUCAGGGGCAUCACCUACUUUGCUUACUUGAUUCAAGGCUCUCAUUAAAGACAUUUUAGUAGUCCUGACCCUAGUAUUUCUGUGGGCAAGGAGAGGGCUGAAGAACUGUCUUUGCAAGCUAUCUGGCUGCAAAGUGAGAAUUUGAGUCCUGGCUUCCACAUUUACUAGCUGGGUGCCAUAUUGCUGAAUGUUUCUGUUCCCCAGUUUACUCAUCUGCAGAGUGAGAAUAACUUGGAGUUACGGAGAUUACAUACAAUGAUGUGCGCAAUAUUUAGCACAAAAUGAAUGCUGAAAAGAGAAGGUACAAUUGGGUCAUUCCCCAGUUUCAACUAACGAGCUCCUAAAAGCAGCAGACAGGAACUGAAUCAAAACCCCUGCGCUGACUGACUUGUAUAAUCUAGUGGCCUAACCUGUAAGCCUCAUUUUUGUCACCUGUAAAAGGAGAUUGUAAGAGGAUGGGUAUAAGGAGCUUCAUAAACCUGGAUGAGAUAUUUGAGGGGGAGGGAACAAUACUUACCCUCAAAGCUAUUAGGAGGCAGGAGAUGGGAAUAUUCCACAAAGCCGCUUCUACAAACACGGGAGCCUGUUGUGGAGUCCCAGAAGGGACAGUGGUUGGUGGCUUCCAGACAUGCUGUGUCUUCAAGAAUCCAACAAGCAUCUUCUUCAUCCUCGUCCUGCCCCCAGCUGAGUCCAGCGUUAAAUGUUCUUAAAGGACUUCUAGGGUCCUGUGGGCUCCAAGCCCAGCCUGGGAUGGAGGAAGAGAGGGGAGAAAAAUAUUACUGAUAUAUUAUCAAAUUACAAAACUAGGCCAGGCAUGCUGGCUCAUAUCUAUAAUCACAGCACUUUGGGAGGCCAAGGUGGGCAGAUUGCUUGAGCCCUGGCAAUAAAGUGACACCCCUAACUCUACAAAAACAAAUGAGCCCGGGAUAGUGGCACAGGCAUGUAGUUCCAACUACUCAGGAGGCUGAGCUGGGAGGACUGCUUGAACCCUGGGAGGUCGAAGCUGCAAUGGGCCAUGAUAAGCUGCUGCACUUGAGCUAAAAAUUCAUUUCUGUGGUAUUUUUUGCUUAUAAAAAAAUAGAGCAAUUAUAUCACUAAGAGCCUAACCUCGCAGCCUCAAUUUUCUCAUUUAUAAAGGGGAAGUACCUUCAUUGGGUUGUUCUGAAAAUCAUGAAGUAAAAGUGUUUAGCAUAGUACCUGAUACAUAGUAAAUGCUCAAAAGAAUGUAGCUUCUUGGGAGGCUGAGGCGGGCAGAUUGCCUGAGCUCAGGAGUUUGAGACCAGACUGGGCAAUAUGGUGAAACCCCAUCUCUACUAAAAUACAAAAAAAAAGUCGGGUGUGGUGGCCUGAACCUGUAGCCCCAGCUACUCAGGAGGCAGAGGUUGCAGUAAGCCGAGAUCCUGCCACUGCACUCCAGCCUGGGCAACAGAGGGUGACUCUGUCUCAAAAAAAAAAAAAAA